AGAGUUUGAUCCUGGCUCAGGACGAACGCUGGCGGCGCGCCUAACACAUGCAAGUCGAACGAGAGAUGAGGAGCUUGCUCUUCAAAUCGAGUGGCGAACGGGUGAGUAACGCGUGAGGAACCUGCCUCAAAGAGGGGGACAACAGUUGGAAACGACUGCUAAUACCGCAUAAGCCCACGGCUCGGCAUCGAGCAGGGGGAAAAGGAGUGAUCCGCUUUGAGAUGGCCUCGCGUCCGAUUAGCUAGUUGGUGAGGUAACGGCCCACCAAGGCGACGAUCGGUAGCCGGACUGAGAGGUUGAACGGCCACAUUGGGACUGAGACACGGCCCAGACUCCUACGGGAGGCAGCAGUGGGGAAUAUUGCACAAUGGGGGAAACCCUGAUGCAGCGACGCCGCGUGGAGGAAGAAGGUCUUCGGAUUGUAAACUCCUGUUGUUGAGGAAGAUAAUGACGGUACUCAACAAGGAAGUGACGGCUAACUACGUGCCAGCAGCCGCGGUAAAACGUAGGUCACAAGCGUUGUCCGGAAUUACUGGGUGUAAAGGGAGCGCAGGCGGGAAGACAAGUUGGAAGUGAAAUCCAUGGGCUCAACCCAUGAACUGCUUUCAAAACUGUUUUUCUUGAGUAGUGCAGAGGUAGGCGGAAUUCCCGGUGUAGCGGUGGAAUGCGUAGAUAUCGGGAGGAACACCAGUGGCGAAGGCGGCCUACUGGGCACCAACUGACGCUGAGGCUCGAAAGUGUGGGUAGCAAACAGGAUUAGAUACCCUGGUAGUCCACACCGUAAACGAUGAUUACUAGGUGUUGGGGGAUUGACCCCUUCAGUGCCGCAGUUAACACAAUAAGUAAUCCACCUGGGGAGUACGACCGCAAGGUUGAAACUCAAAGGAAUUGACGGGGGCCCGCACAAGCAGUGGAGUAU
rnacentral:rRNA from 1 species